rnacentral:misc_RNA from 1 species
GAAAUGCGAUAAGUAAUGUGAAUUGCAGAAUUCAGUGAAUCAUCGAAUCUUUGAACGCACAUUGCGCCCUGUGGUAUUCCGCAGGGCAUGCCUGUUCGAGCGUCAUUUAACCACUCACGCCUGGCGUGGUAUUGGGGCACGCGGUCUCGCGGUCCUUAAAAUCAGUGGCGGUGCCGGUGGGCUCUAAGCGUAGUACAUACUCCCGCUAUAGAGUUCCCCCGGUGGCUCGCCAGAAUCCCCAAUUUUUACAGGUUGACCUCGGAUCAGGUAGGGAUACCCGCUGAACUUAA